GCCAGUGUGGCAUCGUGGUUUGAGUGUUGGACUAGGACUCUGGAGAGCAGGGUUCAAUUCCCAACUCAGCCA